rnacentral:tRNA from 1 species
GCUGUGUAGCUCACCGGUAGAGCGGCCUGAAAAACAGGUGCGAUGUGGGUUCAAUUCCCACCCAGCA